UACAGAGGUCUCAAGCGUUGUUCGGAUUCAUUGGGCGUAAAGGGUGCGUAGGUGGCGGGGUAAGUCAGGUGUGAAAUCUCGGGGCUCAACCCCGAAACUGCACUUGAUACUGCCUUGCUUGAGUACUGGAGAGGAGAUUGGAAUUUACGGUGUAGCGGUGAAAUGCGUAGAUAUCGUAAGGAAGACCAGUGGCGAAGGCGAAUCUCUGGACAGUUACUGACACUGAGGCACGAAGGCCAGGGGAGCAAACGGG
rnacentral:rRNA from 1 species